rnacentral:rRNA from 1 species
UACGUAGGGUGCAAGCGUUGUCCGGAAUUAUUGGGCGUAAAGAGCUCGUAGGCGGUUUGUCGCGUCUGCUGUGAAAACUCGGGGCUUAACUCCGGGCCUGCAGUGGGUACGGGCAGACUAGAGUGCGGUAGGGGAGACUGGAAUUCCUGGUGUAGCGGUGAAAUGCGCAGAUAUCAGGAGGAACACCGGUGGCGAAGGCGGGUCUCUGGGCCGUAACUGACGCUGAGGAGCGAAAGCGUGGGUAGCAAACAGG